UGUUUGGUCAGUGCAAACGCGUUGGUCCAUCAAUCAAACAGGCCGCCGACGCCCACGCGUGGGGUGGGGGUGGGGCUUGGGCGGUGGGGGUCCCUCCUACCCCUCGUCUCGGGUUACUUGGCCUCUUCCUCCAGAGAGCUCCAAGCCAUCUCUUCCCUUCGGGGGCCACUGGAUUGAGCCGUCUUAAUCAAUCAACCAGUCUAUCGUACUCACUGAACCAGCGCGGACUCUGAUCGGGAAAAGGAGCACCCCAAUUCCUCUUUGUCAGGGAGCCAGGACUCUAGCAAGGUCCGCGGGGUGGGGGCGAGGAGCAGAACUAGCUAAACUCCAAGAGCUUGUGGGCCAAGCUGGGGGUGAUGGAGACUUGUCCCAGGAUAGCCGAGUUAAGACACACUCACCGGUCAUCAGAUUGGCCACGGCCCCAUCCCGGGCACUGAAUGCUUCCCACGUGCCAGGCACUGUGCUAAGCACCCAGGAUGCAACUACAAGUGAGAAACCCGAGAAAACAAGUAGUAUUUGCUGCUUGGCAUUCUUAAGUAGAACCAUGCUAGCUUGGGGUUAUCUGAGGCUUUAAAAUUUGCAAAAUACUUUAAAAACAUUCCUUGAUGUUAUCAUCACAACAAUCCUAAGAAGUAGAUGCUAUUUUACAGAUGAGGAAACUGAGGCUUUCCCGGAGGGAUUAAGUGACUUGCCCAGGAUGAACUCUGUCUAAGGCUGGAUUUUGAACACAGAUCACCUGACUCCAGAUCUCAUGAGGGCACCGAGCUGCCUCAAUCUUAAUUCCACUCCUGCGUUUUCCUUUCCCCUGAAAUCCAAUUCACUGACUCUCUCUCUAUCUCUUCUUCAUCUCUGUUUCCUUCUGGAUUCCUGGCUAAUAUCCCACCUUCUGCAUGAAGCAGCUCCAAGAGCUGCCCCCUUCACGUCUUGCUUAUAAUAUGGUUGUUCUCAUUGUCUCCCCCUCCGGAUACUGAGCCAGCACCAGUCAAGAGUCAUCAUCGUCACAGAAUUUUGGAAUUGGAAGUGACCCUGUGGCCUACGUAGUCUGCUUCAUACCUGGAUAGAUGCUCCAAUCCAGUGGCCAUCUGACCUUUGCUGGAGGACCUCUGCUCAGUGCCUCCUGAUACGGUCUAUCCCACUUUUGGACAGCUUCAAAUGACAAUUAAAAAAAAAUUCAGAACUGGGACAGCCUUCUUUAUAUCAAACAUUCUCCACUCAUGCCUUCAAUAUUGCCCCCAGGGUCUGCACCAAGCCGUUAUGGCACCUCUUUCACUCACUUUAAGUAACUGUGUUCCGGAAACUGGUAUUAAAAAUGACUAUUAGGACUUGAAA